CCACCAUCUUCAACCUCUCCCUGCAAUCACCAUUUUCAACCUGCACCAGCCCCACCCACCCCUGGCCUUUCUCUCCCUUGAACCUCCACCAUCUCCACCAUAACAUACCAGUCACCAUAACCCACCCAAAUUCAGGGAGAACAAAUAAAAAUCAAUUCCUAAACUGAUUUCAAAACCUAAACUUGGAGUACAUUUUCAUAUCUGCACUGAAGCGCCACUAAUUUUACUUCCUUGACUGAACCCAUUUCCCUAUAAUGUCAAACUCCGACCCGAAAACCCGACCUUGUCCAGAUCCAUGGCCUCCCGCUCCAGAUUCCGCCCCAAGUUCUCUCGCGAAACCAAUGGCAGUGAUUCAGGUAAGAUAUCUUUGCCGCUACCCCGGUCCUGAGAGCCCGAAGCCCAUCCUGAUCUCGAAGCUAUACGGGUUUGGCCUCAACCGGCUCUGAAUGGCGUGCCCGAGCUCGAGGUGGUUGCACCGAAAUGGGCAGCGCCCAGGUACGAGAGAGAGAGAGAGAGAGAGAGAGAGAGAGAGAGAGAGUGUGUGUGUGUGUGUGUGUGUGUGUGUGUGCAGCGCCCUGUUGGAUGUUGGAG
rnacentral:lncRNA from 1 species